AUUCUGCUAAUUAACACUGUUAAAGAAAACUAAUGAUGGACUUUCAAGAAUGGGAAACACAGAAGCAAGCUGGAUGCAACCAAAUGUAAAGCGAAACACAUCCUGACAGUGGUAUUCCACAGAGGGGCGCGCAGAUGUGCACAGGAAGGAAGAGAUAGGAAGCCCAGGAACACACUUGAUGGAUGUCACAGUCGGGAGAAAGGAAGAAACAACAUGUAGAGGCGCGGAGAGCCCGGGCUAUUUUUGUGUCGUCAAGCGGAAAUGGGAUGCGGCCCAAGGAGGAUGCAGAUAGGCCUCAGAGUGUUGCGUAGCAACCCCUCAGGAAAGAAGCUACUGUGCGAGUUUGAGAACAUCUGUCGAGCUACCAGCCACAAUCGAUUCCAGACCGCGGGACCCAUUCACAAACCAGAACAGUGCCUUAGCAGGAUGAGACACCAAGCAGCCCCUUUUGUAAGGUUUUAAAUCAGGUUUUUAUGUGAUGCCUUCAUGUUGUAACGGUUAUGGUGAAGCCGAAAGCAAUUCUCCUCUUGUGGGAAAUAUUUUUAUACUGUAGAUGGAAAAAAGCUUCCUUAUGUUUUAAUUUAGUAAUCAUCUGUUUCCCCAUUUAGAAAUACAUGUCAAAAUGAAUAUUCAAUGUAGGUGGCUGGUAUUAUGUGUUUUAUUUUAUUUGUUUUACUCAGGAAAUGUAAAUUUGAAGCACACAGGGAAAAUACUUUGGUUUUGAAUGUUCUGUGUGGUCUUACCUUAAUAUGUCUUGGUUAAAAUCACAUCUGGAUGGUGGUGGGUUGUAUGGCUAGGAACACAAAUAUAUUUUUCAAAUAGUUUUUUCUACAUAAAAACACAAUAAUCUGUUCUAAUUUAGCAUAAACUGCAACACAAAUACAUUAUUUUCAAACAUCCAAGACCAUUAAUAAUACUAUUUAGAGAGAAUGGAAACUCCACUCUGAGUCUUCCUUCCCCAACUCAAGUGUAGGUGGUGGGGGACCAUAGAGGUUUACUGGGCUUGCUUCCCAGAAUACGCUUGUUCAACAUAUUUCUCUUCAUACAAUGCUCCCAUACCUCCCACGUUCUGAGUCCUUUUAUCAUUGGACAGCAUACAAUUAAACAUAUGACAUCAUAUGCUUUAACUGCUUAAAGUACAGACACUGCUCAGCCAGUCUUUAAUCUCAUUCCCCAUCACAGAAUGUUAAAAUCACAGCAAAAUGCUGCCAUAGCCUUAUUCAUUCACAUAAAAUGGCUGGGCCAAUUUCUAUACUUGGAAGUUUUGGGAAGUAACUCGUGUUAAAAAAACAACCUUGUAAAAAUGAUAACAUUUUCAGAGGAUUUAUAUAAAAGGGCUUUAUGAAAUGUUUUUUUCUU